rnacentral:lncRNA from 1 species
CUUUGGAGUCUAGCUAACAGAGCAUCUUUGAUGCACUCCUAAGAGAAGACUACCUGAAAGGUGUGUACACUGGUCUAGCAGUUGAGGUCAGCUAAUGUUCCAUCUAUCUUCUGUCAUGUGGAGGAGUUCUUGCUCUGUCACCUAGUUUGGAAUGCAAGGGCACAAUCAUAGCUCACUGCAGCCUCAUACUCCUGGACUCAAAUGAUCCUCCUGCCUCACCCUCCUGAGUAGUUGGGACUACAGGCUGUACUGGUUAUUGUAGAUCCAAAAAUCCAAGGAUACAGACUUUGUCCUCAAAUUAUUUACUGCAUAGUGGGUGGCCUGAAAAGCAAACAUAAGCACUAAAUAUGGAAAAAUGCAAAAGGCAAUGGGACCGUAAAAGGAACAGAUGUCUUCUAAGACGUCUUGAUCAACUGACCCCAAAGCCAGAGGGUACCAGGUCAAAAAGCAAGAAAACAAACAAUAUUGACAUUAGAGAGAAGAAAAGUUUCUAUAGAAAACCUAUUACACUGUGGUAUAAAUCAAGAUAAACCUGCAGACAUCUAUUUUAAUUUGGAAGUCUGGAAAAGUUCAAGAUUGGCCAUCUGCAGCUGGUGAGAGCCUCAGGCUGCUUCCCCUCAUGGUGGAAGGUAAAGGGGAGCUGGUGUGUGCAGAGAUUACAUGCUUUUCUAGGUCAUCAUUCUAGGCUUUGUUGAAGCAUGCAUUUUUGGCAUGAGGGUGGCAGCCUUUGCACUGUGUGCAUGGCUGAGGAGUUAGGAUCUGGAGGGUGAUGAAAGCAAAGGUGCUGCUGGUUACUCUUGGUUCAUCUAGCAAUAGAUGAUCUGAAUGUUAGAGUUCACCAAAUAUUGUUCCUGGGCAUUCUUUGCUCUACCAAAUCAACUUUCUCCAUGAGGGAGCUGAUGCAAGUCACCCCACAUUCUCUGCCAUGGCCAGCUCUAUAUUCUAAGAGAACCAAUGGCUCUACCCAACAUAUUCUUCUCAUCACAGAUGACAGAGACACAAGGAGCCAAGACAGAUCAUUCAAGUAUAUUCAUUGCCUCUAUCUUCAUCCCAUUAAAUAACAUCCCACCAACCAAAGCAAGUUAUCUGCAUAAGAAUAAAUAUUCCACCUACUCUACUGCAAGGCCCUGCAAGAGUCAUAAGACAAAAAGAUCCUCUGUGGACAGCACCCAAGAUGGAAACAACUGACAGUCUACGGCCAGGGCUAUACUCUGGUGAAACUGAAGGGUGUCUGCAUGGAAGUGUCUGACUACCACCAUCCACUCAGGCAAAUGCAUUUGUUUCCCUCUAUUCAUUGUUAGAAGAGAGGAGAUUACAUACGAGACAUAUACCAAUAGGUUUUCUCUUCAUAAUACCUACAUCAUCUAGUAGCAUAACGUAAGGCAGAAUCCUUCAAAGAUUUUCACCUGAGCUUUUCUUGAGCAUCUCUAGACGGUCAUAUGCAGAAUAACAAUUGGGUUUUAGGUGUACCAAGUUCUUAGUAUGGAAAAAAAUAUUCUACAAAAUUUUGUCUCUACACAUGUUGAAGUUCAUCUCUCACUCCUCUCUACUCUCUUAUCUAUGCUUCAGGCAAAUGGAAUUACUUUUUUUCAUACUGAGACAUUAAAACAGGAAAUCCUUCUUCCUAGGACUUCUUUUCACUACCACUACCUCUACCCAUAGCAGAUCCACAUAAGACACUUACAUCCAAGACAAGUCAGAAUGAUUACAUAUGAAAGUUUUAAUUGCAUUGUAUGGGGAUAUUGCUGUGUUGUGAAUUAAAUAAGAAUUCAUAUUUUC